CAGACAAGCUGUUGGAUUUCUGGUAAUACAUCAAAAGAGGAAGAAAUCUUUGGAAGAGAUAAGACAGGACCUUUGCCCGGCAUUGACAACCCGACAAAUUUAUCGAAUUAGUACCAUGUAUUGGGAUGACAAGUAUGGAACUCAAAGUGUGUCAAACGAAGUUGUCGCACAGAUGAGGGAGAUUUUAAACAAGGAUUCUCAGAAUCUAACAUCUAACUCAUUUUUGUUGGAUGAUGAUCUGAGUAUUCCGUUUUUAACAGAAGACAUAUAUAUGGCACUUCCGGAGUUAGAUCCUUCACUUAUGGAGCUGCCAAAGUUCCUAUCUGAAUAUCCAUCAGCAUUGCUUAUGAUACAGCACACAAAGUAAACUUUUUAUGUGCGUGUUUGGAAUAUUCUCGUCUUGUACAACUCCAGUCUCCACUCGCAAUGUGCAACAUCUACCUAUUCUUGUCUGGGGAAAACUGCGUCUCAAGAUGGCUAACUGAUUCCCAGCAAUGCAGGUCAAGUUGUCCCCCCCCCAAAAAAAUCCCUUCAGUUUGUUUACACGGCAGUCUAG
rnacentral:misc_RNA from 1 species